CCUACGGGAGGCAGCAGUGAGGAAUAUUGGUCAAUGGGCUUACGCCUGAACCAGCCAAGUCGCGUGAGGGAAGACUGCCCUAUGGGUUGUAAACCUCUUUUGUCAGGGAGCAAUUGGCGCUACGUGUAGCGUUAUCGAGAGUACCUGAAGAAAAAGCAUCGGCUAACUCCGUGCCAGCAGCCGCGGUAAUACGGAGGAUGCGAGCGUUAUCUGGAUUUAUUGGGUUUAAAGGGUGCGUAGGCGGAAUGCCAAGUCAGCGGUAAAAUCGCGGGGCUCAACCUCGCUCCGCCGUUGAAACUGGCGUGCUUGAGUGGGCGAGAAGUAUGCGGAAUGCGUGGUGUAGCGGUGAAAUGCAUAGAUAUCACGCAGAACUCCGAUUGCGAAGGCAGCAUACCGGCGCCCAACUGACGCUGAAGCACGAAAGCGUGGGUAUCGAACAGGAUUAGAUACCCUUGUAGUC
rnacentral:rRNA from 1 species